CCAGAGACCGAGGAUAAGGGCUGUCAGACUGAAAGCCGAUGACGGUCACCCAACGAAAUGUGCUGGUCCCAGCGAGCAAAGGGCCCACGCGACAUUCAACAGCAGCUUGCAACACCAGAACUGUCCGAGCAGUGAGGCCCACGGCGGUCAGCCACCAGACUCUGGCGAACACACUGAAGAACUGUGGCAAUCCGACGAAGACCAGCUGGUCUGGACUCUGAAAUUUGAUCCCAAGCCUCCAAAGGCCAGCAAAUCCGCCCGUCGUCGUCGUCGCAACUGCCAGCGUCAACUGCGUGAUUACAGCAUGGAUGAUGAGUACGAUGACGAAGAAAUUAGGAUGACCCCACAGGGACUCUGCCUAUUCCGAUUGUUUGGCAGCCGAUGGGUGGCAAUGGCCUAAUCAGUUUUUCUUUUUGGAAUACAGUGAUCCCUCGUUUAUCGCGGGAGUUGCGUUCCAAAAAUAACACGCGAAAAGUGAAAUCCGUGAAGUAGUCAGCUUUAUUUUUUAUUUUUAUUUUACAAUGCAAUACUGAACUGUAGAAUGAAACCAAAAAUCAAAACCUGUUUUAAAGCCCAAAAUUUGUUUAAAACACUAAUUUUAAUAUAGUAAUACAAGGUUGGAAACAUUGUCACACACGUAUUUCCCAGUCCCAGCUGUGCCUCUUCGUCCUGACUCCGCUCCGCUGGAGCGUCUGUUUCUACUGGAGGCGCAGGAGUGUUUCUCCCAGAGAAGAACUUUGUUAUGGGUAGUUGUUGGCGCUCUUUCUUUUUCUGAGCAAGAAGAUUUUUAUAAACGGAUAUGCCACCUUCGAUUAUAUUUGAGAACUGCAACGAACGACUCGCAAAAAAAAAUCCGUGAAGCAGCGAAGCCGUGAAAGAUGAAACGCGAUAUAGCGAGGGAUCACUGUAUUUCCUUUUUAAUGAUCCAUUUUUUUUCCUGAACUUCAUGAAUAUUUGUGAUAUUUGUGAAUAAAAUCUGAAUAUACUCCGGUCUUUUGUGAUGAUUUAAGUCAAUUUGGAGAAAUUCAAAU
rnacentral:lncRNA from 1 species